ensembl:lncRNA
AGCGGCUGCAGCUGGGAGAUGCGCAGCGCCGGCCACAAGUUCCCCGCCGCGCACCCGCGGCCGCCACCGGCACGGGGAGGGCUCAGGUUGCAGCAGGAACGGGCUUGGGAGCCGGGCGUGCCCGCACCGCCAGGCCGAGAGUACCCGCGCGCGGCACGGAGACGAAGCCGGAGAACGGAGGUGGCGGCUCGGACGGAGCGCAGGAGCGGCGCGGGGACCUGUUGACCGAGCGAGGCCAGCCCGUGCCGGAGCGGGACCCCGAGCCGAGGGCAGCCCGCCGCCGAGCCGAGCCGAGCCGGGAGCGGCGGGCAGCGAGGGGUCCGAUCGGCGCGAGGCGGGGAGGAGGCGCGGCGCCGGGGGAGCUCCAGGUGCUGCGCUCACGCUGCCCACAGGGCGGGCGAUCGUGUCCGUGCGGCCAUGUGCUCCGUGCGGAGCGCACAUAAAUAAGCGGGUGUGUGCGGCACAGGUAUGUUCAUACGAUUUGAUUUGUAUAUCGUGGAGCGUGUAAAGCUUUUCAAGGUAACUGCGGUGCAGAAGUAAUUACUUUAUUACCUCCGAAACGUUCUGCAGUUCGCAUUUAACAGUGCUCUGAAUAAUUACGAGUCAUUACGCAGCCGUGCGCUCUCCGAAGCCCGCGUACGGCGGCAUACCUGGCCGGGGCCGGUUCUGAUAAAUACCAGGCAGCGUUCCAUCGGUUUUCUUUAAAAACUCGCAGCGAGUUUAUCACUUAGUUAUACCUCAGCCCGCCGUCUCGCUGCACCGCGGCUGAGAUUCCAGCGGUGGCUGCCCCUGCCGCACCGUGAGACGCACUCGACAGCUGAUUGUACGGAUGCUCUCGGGAACGGCAGCGAGCGAGUCCUGCCGGCAGUGUGCCCUCAAUGCUGGCACGGAGUAACUGCGCGGGCGAAGCGGAGCCGUACCUCAGCUCAGCGCUCCCCUCGGCCGGACGGGCGCUGCUGUCGGCAUUGAUCACAAUAACGCGCACUGCCCGCCGCCCCCCGCGCUGCCGUUGUCAUGUGACGAGAGGGCGACAGCAGACCGAGAAAAGGCGUCGGGAGGCGUUCUUGGAGCGCCGUAUCCACGGGCUUUAUUAAAGCAGGAUUGUCUCCUCUUUAGAUGUGAGCUUUCGGUGAAUACGACGAGACUGCUUGUUUUCCCCCGCAAUGAUCACUGCGUUUCUCAAGCAGUUUGCACCUACUUACGGACCUCGCAUCUUCAGCCUUGGAUCUUAAAGGAACUGAUAACUCCUCUUCCAGAAAACUGUUCGGUAACAGGUUUCCUGCCCCGGGCUUUACAAGGAUCGCUCUUGUCUCAGAGCCACCGUGUUUGAUUGCCGGAAAAGGCUGACUACUAGAAUAGCAAAACCAGUCCGCCAUCCAGCAGUUGGGAAUCAAGGCCCUUCUUUACCAGAGCCCCAGCCACAUCCAUACUGUCACCCACCUUCCAGACACUCGGCACAACCAUUCACCCUAUUGAAUCAUGAGACUGUUUGAUCUUAUCUGCAUCUGUGAGCUGACUGUCAACCUGCUUACACUGCAUAUUAAAUCAUCUAUAGUAGCUGUAUCAAGCUGGGAUGAUCUGUUAAUUCUAAAUUUACUAACCCUUCGAGUGCAGUCGUUGUGUUUAAUCUAGUGUAGCCAGCAUUUAUUUUACAAGUCUAAAUCCUUCUUCAAGAUAUGUCUGUGCUGUAGGUUAAAAAAUCAUUAAUGUGUAGGAGAUGGUAAUUGGGAAGAGUUCACUUUGAUCUUUGGAAGCCAGUUGACAGCUUCACUGCUCCAAACACAUACGUGUGUGCUCUCACCACUCUCGCGUGCCCGGCGUGCUGGAUGUGUGCAUGCAUACGCACCUAAUGACACUUCCUUGCAGAAAGAGUUUUGCAUGAGACAAGGAAGAAGAGAGGCCUCAGACAAUGCCUUCAUUCCACGUCUCCAUGAAGACUUAUAAUCGAGAGGCAAAUUCCUGGUGCUGCAGCGCAGUGAGAGCAUGUGGCUGCAGGCAGAGCCCUGCGCCAGGAGGGCCAACAAACCUCCCUUCGAGGCAGCACCCAGCUUGAUGAAUGCCUGCAGCCAUUGCCAGCACCGGACAUCCCCACACACUGAGGACCACAGCCCCUGCCAGGCUUGAGAAAGGUCAAGUGCUGCUGUCCGCACCUCAACCAGCGUGCCCCCUCCUAGACACAGAUACAUACACAAAAAAUUGCAUGCAGAUAUGUACAUACAUCUAAAUAUGUUAAUCUGUUCACUGUACACACCCAUCUCUCCCUGUCCCACUCUCCUGUUAUCUAUUAUUCUUGCACGCUGCUGAUGGCAUCAACAUAUUCACAGCUUUUAUUUCAGUCACAAACUGGUAGGCAUGCUUCCUUUUUUGGUAAUCACAUGCCUGGUAUCUCUCUAAUGUAGCCUAAUAACAAUUUUAGCAUUCAGAUAAAAAGAUUUCAUUCUGUGAUUGCCUUUUCUAUUAGAUUUGAUUCUGAGAAGCCCCAGUGGGUGCCUCCGAGGCAGAGAUCUAUCUGUGAGGCUGCAACCGAUUCAAUAGCAGCCUGAGCUAACCUUGACCUUUCCCUAGACCCUACUCCAUCUGGUGCCAGCCUGGUCCCCCCCUUCUCCUCCUCCUUGCUUCACAGGCAGCAUUGAUCAAGACGAAAUCGAGCGGCUCUCUCCCUCGGAGGGCUGGGCAGUCACAGGAAGGACAGCACAUUUCACUAUAUGGAGACAACUGAGCUUCUUAUGCAAUCAUAUAUCUACAUAGAGGCUUCUGAUUUGAUAUUUCCUUCACUUCCUAAGGUUCUCCCCUCCCUCCCCCAGCAGGGAUUUAUAAACUAUAAGACAACCGCUUUCCCCAACACCUGGAAAUUAUAAAGCUGGCUGUUGGGAACGCAUCCUGGCGAUUUGAUCUGAUUUACUUGGCUUCUUAUUUAUUUCCUUGCAGCUCGCUCCAUCUUUUUCCUGCGUCCGUGGUUCUGUAUCUCUGUCUCUUCUUUCUGUUAUUUUCCCCUGUUCGGCGGCGGCCUUUAUUCAUCUCCUCGGGGAUGCCGGGUGCCGCUGUGGGUAGGCUGGAGGGGCCAGCUGGUGGCUGGCCGGCUCGGGAGGACCGGCUCCCUCCGAACCCCGGCACCGACUGUCGGCUCUCUCGGCCGCGUUUCUCUGUCUGGAAAUGAGAAGAGGCUCCCGCGAUCAAUCGGCACUCAGCACUUCGUGCUUCGUGUUCUUCCCCUCUUCUCCGCUCUGCCGCUGCACCUGGCCCCCAGCACUGCCUGGCCCCCAGAGCUCAAGCGGAAUUGCGCCGUGCCCCACGGCCCCGCACCGCCCCACGGCCCCGCGCAGCCCCGCGCCGCUCGCCGAGGCGUUCCGACGCGCUCCCGCCCCCGUUCCCUCUUCGGCAGCAGCCGCGCUGGGGUUCGCCUCGCGGACAACCGCCGCGUCCGCGCUCUCAUCUCCUCUCAUCUCCGUGUGGGUUCCUUAAUUGCCAGGACGUUCGUUUACAAUCCGCGAUCUGCUUUUUCUUCCCAAGAAUUGUAGCAUGACCGCGUUUUCUCAUCUCACACCAGUCUUCAGAUUAUAUAACAGAUGAUGCAAAAUUAUAAUGACGAUCUAAUCUAUGCACACUGUAAUUAUAGAGUUUCCUGCACACACACAGCUCUUGCAGUAUCUGCAGAGCUGACAACUGGCUGUAGAUGCAGAGUACAAAAGAUAGAGACUGAUAUUUGGACCCACAUAUGUUUAAGAGAGAGAUAUUACUUAAUGGGAGAAGGGAUCUGGAAAUGCAUUUCUCUUUCUUCUGAGGAAUUUGUUUUGCUUUAUCUCCAUCGGUUGUAAUAGGAAGAAACUGUGAAUUACGCUGAAAAAAAAAAAAGACAUAUACUCAAUUUAUCAGUUUACUAUUACAUUUCCUAUCUCCAGUGUUACAAAGAUUUAGAACAUUUCCAAAACUUUUGGAUCUAAUCUGUGUUUUGUGCAGCCUACAGUUUGUUUGCAGGACCUGCCACCACACGCCAGCCAAAAAUGAGUGUCAAUUAAUAACAAAAAACUCCCUUCCUUCCUUAUUUCUGCACUCUCAUACCUUAACGGAUAAAACUACUGAUGGUGAGAAUUUUCCAUUACCAACAGUUUUUAUUCUAAAGCACCAAAGCUUCCCCACAUAGAGCUGCUGAAUAUUUCCUUGCUUUUCCCAGUGGCAAUUUACGCACACCACUGCUCAUUUGAAAUAUAAAGAAUAUUCAGCACUUUCAGGAGUGUUUUUUCUGCUACCCAGAUCAGCCAGUAGAACCAAUUGCAAAUCCAGUGACUGCACUGUGCUGUUUGUGGCGUUCCAAAUUAGAAAUCAUUUGAAACCAGAAGUAGGAGGGUUUGUUGGUUUUGUCUUUUUUUUUUCUACUGUUUUCUACAACGUCAGAAGUAACUGAAAAAACAUUCACCCUUGUGACACAACAGAAUUUAUGAGCUCUUUUCUUUCUGAGCUACCUGAGCAGUCCUGUCAUCCCUGCAGAAAUGCCCAUGUGUGGGUUGCUGUUUAAAACCGUAUUCUACUUAUCAAUAAAAUGUGAAAUGGCUUAAAAAACA